GCAGUUUUGCUUUCAGACUGA
rnacentral:siRNA from 1 species